ACAGCCUGCGAGGGACUGAGGGCCUGGCAGCACCAUGCAGCCUGAAAAUCUCCAUGUCUGAUGAGACAUGCUGUGGUUCAAGCCACAUGAUUGGGUGGAUGGAGUGCCCAGUUUUGCUGCUCAUGUUUGAUACAGGAGAGGUGCAAGGAGCCCUUUUGAAUCCAGUACUUGCGUAGGAUGCAGUCUCUACAGACAAUCCUAACUGCCUAAUGAAGUUUGGCAACUGGAUUAUUGUCAGUUCUGGACAGAGGGGAACAUAACCUCCUGGAGGAGGUUCCACUGAGAGCACACUCUAUUUGGAACUUCACUGAAUUUUUAUUUCUACACGUGACUCAGAGGACUUUAGAAAAGGAGACUGGAAUUAAGUGAUGUAACAUCUUCAGGUACUGCUCUGACACCACAGGCUUCACGAGCACUUCAUGAGUGUUUUAAAGUUACUUUAAUGUUCUUCCCACUGUUGAGACCAACUGGGGCCUUUACGCAGCACUUCUUAGGAGGGAGAGGAAGAAGGUACUCAGUUUCUGCACACAACUAAAAUUAAACUGUCUGCAAUUAGAAAGCUACUGAAAGAAUCCACAGAAAAUGCUUUAAGACACCACAAUCAACUGAAAAAUACCACAGAACAAGUUAAACAGCCUUGCUAAAAUCAGUCUAGUGGUACAAACUAGUUAAAAUGACAAGUUGG